rnacentral:rRNA from 1 species
UGGGGAAUAUUGCACAAUGGGCGAAAGCCUGAUGCAGCAACGCCGCGUGAGUGAUGAAGGCCUUCGGGUUGUAAAGCUCUGUCUUUUGGGACGAUAAUGACGGUACCAAAGGAGGAAGCCACGGCUAACUACGUGCCAGCAGCCGCGGUAAUACGUAGGUGGCAAGCGUUGUCCGGAUUUACUGGGCGUAAAGGAUGCGUAGGCGGAUUUUUAAGUGAGAUGUGAAAACCCUAAGCUUAACUUGGGGACUGCAUUUCAUACUGGAAAUCUAGAGUGCGGGAGAGGAGAAUGGAAUUCCUAGUGUAGCGGUGAAAUGCGUAGAGAUUAGGAAGAACACCAGUGGCGAAGGCGAUUCUCUGGACCGUAACUGACGCUGAGGCAUGAAAGCGUGGGUAGCAAACAGGAUUAGAUACCCUGGUAGUCCACGCCGUAAACGAUGAGUACUAGGUGUAGGAGGUAUCGACCCCCUUCUGUGCCGCAGUUAACACAAUAAGUACUCCGCCUGGGAAGUACGAUCGCAAGAUUAAAAC